rnacentral:rRNA from 1 species
UGGGGAAUUUUGCGCAAUGGGCGAAAGCCUGACGCAGCAACGCCGCGUGUGUGAUGAAGGUCUUCGGAUUGUAAAGCACUUUCGACCGGGACGAAACCGCGAGGUUCAAUACACCUCGUCUUGACGGUACCGGGAGAAGAAGCACCGGCUAACUCUGUGCCAGCAGCCGCGGUAAUACAGAGGGUGCAAGCGUUGUUCGGAAUUAUUGGGCGUAAAGCGCGUGUAGGCGGCAUUGCAAGUCGGGUGUGAAAGCCCUCAGCUCAACUGAGGAAGUGCGCCCGAAACUGCAGUGCUUGAGUGCCGGAGAGGGUGGCGGAAUUCCCCAAGUAGAGGUGAAAUUCGUAGAUAUGGGGAGGAACACCGGUGGCGAAGGCGGCCACCUGGACGGUAACUGACGCUGAGACGCGAAAGCGUGGGUAGCAAACAG